CUUGGGGAGAAUUGUACUUUUAAAAUUUUGAUUCAUACUCAGUUUGGUAAAAGGUAAGUAUUUAACCAAAAAAUCAUCUCAUGUGAGAGGGAGAAGCUGACAGUGAUGUUGGUUCUUCCCUCAUCAUUUCUGUGACAUUUACCACCUGUCUUCAGAAGCCUCUGUGUCUAUAUGUGGAGGGAAAAAAAUUGAAGAAAAUGUAGGACUGGGGAUUGGUAACUUUUCAACAGUAUAAGGAAAUAAUCAAUUUAUAUGGAUAGAU
rnacentral:lncRNA from 1 species